GAGGGUAUGGGUCAGUGGUAGAGCACGUGCUUAGCAUGCAGGAGGUCCUGGGUUCAAUCCCCAGUACCGCUA
rnacentral:tRNA from 1 species